UACGGAGGGUGCGAGCGUUGUCCGGAAUUACUGGGCGUAAAGGGCUCGUAGGCGGCCAACUAAGUCAGACGUGAAAUCCCUCGGCUUAACCGGGGAACUGCGUCUGAUACUGGAUGGCUUGAGUUUGGGAGAGGGAUGCGGAAUUCCAGGUGUAGCGGUGAAAUGCGUAGAUAUCUGGAGGAACACCGGUGGCGAAGGCGGCAUCCUGGACCAACACUGACGCUGAGGAGCGAAAGCCAGGGGAGCAAACGGG
rnacentral:rRNA from 1 species